rnacentral:tRNA from 1 species
GCGGGUGUAGUUCAAUGGUAGAACGGUAGCUUCCCAAGCUGCAUACGAGGGUUCGAUCCCCUUCACCCGCUCCA